UGUGGGAGCUGGCUUGCCAGCGAUAGGGUCGCGUCAGCCAACAUCGUCGUUGCUGACAGUCCGCCAUCGCUGGCAAGCCAGCUCCCACA
rnacentral:antisense_RNA from 1 species